rnacentral:rRNA from 1 species
AGUGAACGCUGGCGGUAGGCCUAACACAUGCAAGUCGAACGGCAGCACAGUAAGAGCUUGCUCUUACGGGUGGCGAGUGGCGGACGGGUGAGGAAUACAUCGGAAUCUACUUUUUCGUGGGGGAUAACGUAGGGAAACUUACGCUAAUACCGCAUACGACCUACGGGUGAAAGCAGGGGAUCUUCGGACCUUGCGCGAUUGAAUGAGCCGAUGUCGGUUUAGCUGGUUGGCGGGGUAAAGGCCCACCAAGGCGACGAUCCGUAGCUGGUCUGUGAGGAUGGUCAGCGACCCGGGAACUGGACCGCGGUCCAGACUCCUACGGGAGGCAGCAGUGGGGAAUGUUGGACAAUGGGCGCAAGCCUGAUCCAGCGAUACCGCGUGGGUGAAGAAGGCCUUCGGGUUGUAAAGACCUUUUGUGGGGAAAGAAAAGCAGCAGGUUAAUACCCCGCUGUUCUGACGGUACCCAAAGAAUAAGCACCGGCUAACUUCGUG